UUAUUAUGACGUUGGUUUUCUUGCUCAGGUCUCAGAUUCUCUGUCCUUUUGCCCAUCAGAUCAACAAAGUUUCAUGUCUGAACUUGAUUCCCAGGUCUCUACUGCCUUCGACCCGUUUGCUGAUGCGAAUGCUGAGGACUCAGGUGCGGGAACAAAGGAGUACGUCCACAUUCGUGUGCAGCAGCGCAAUGGUAGGAAAAGCUUGACAAAGAAAGAGUAUAUUUACAGCAAUAUAGUUAAGGACCUCAAGAAAGAGUUUUGUUGCAACAGUACAUUGGUUCAUGACUCUGAACUCGGACAUGUUCAUGUUUAUUUUACAGCAAGAUACUUAAGGACCUCAAGAAAGAGUUUUGUUGCAACGGUACAUUGGUUGCAAACACAAUAAUUGCAUAUAAAUAGAUAUAUUAUCAAUUUAAAUAUCACUAGAAUAAAUUAUUUUCAUAUGUUCAGAAUUUAAUAUUAAAUCAACCAUACAGAAUUUUUUUUAUCAUAGCAAAAUUAUUUUUAUCACGUAAAAUACAGUUUAAAAGUACUCAUGCAUUUGAAAUAUUUAAUAAAAAUAAAUAAAUAUCAUUUUUUUACAUAUCACAAAGUUAUUUAUUAUAAUAAAAUUUUCCUUUAUCGUGUAAGAAUAUUAAAAACACUUAUGUAUAUAUAAAAUUAUAUACAAUAUAUAUAGAGAGAUAUAUCUCUUUUAUUUAAAAAUAAUAAUAAUGAUGUAAAAUAUUAUUUUUGGUAACACAAUAUAAAUUAUUUUUAUAAAAUGAUAAUUACCAAAUAAAAAAGCAUUUUAAUUUACGAUAAUAUAUUAACAAAUCUAAUUAUUUAUUUAAGAUAUGAAGACUUUAUAACACAAUAUAAAUUAUUUUUAGACAAUGAUAAUUAUAAAUCAAUAAAAUUUCUUUUUAAUUAAUUGUUAAUUAUAUACUAACAAAUAUAUUUAUUUAUUAAGGAUUAUAAAUAUUUUAGUGGCUUUAACUUUAAGUAUGAGAGUUCAGAGGCAAAAAAUCACUAUACAAAUUACAAUAUAGAGUAUUAAAAUAAAUAUAAAUUAAUUAAAUAAAUAAAAGUUUAACUAUACCAAACAAUCCGCGCGUAGCACAGAUAAAAGAUCUAAGAAGUCAACAAAUAAAGAACCGGUAUACAAGUCGGUGUUACUUUCUUUUAAAGACAAGUACAAAAAUAAAAUUUAAUAAUUUUAAAACCAAUCAAAAUUUAUACAGUACUAAUUAUAAGCUUUGCAAUUGUUUUACAUAAAAAUAAAUAACGAAGAUAAAGAAUAUAUAUAGAUCUUAACUUAUAAUUUAGUUAACUUUUUAUUAAUAUUACUAAUAUCCUAUAUAAAACUCCAAUAAACACACAACAAUUUAUUUCAAAUAUUUUUUAAAUUUGCAUUUAUGUUUAUAAUUCUAUAACAAGUUUCAGUGUAUAUCAUAUUUGUUCUAUUUUAAAAUAUAAAUAUAAAAUUAAACAAAUAUUAUAGGAAAAAAUCCGGGCGGAAAACCCCCUAGUCUAUAUUAUAAUCGGACAGUAAGCUGUCCACGUGUCCACCUUUGUGGAUCCCACCGAAAAUAUGUAUUUGGGUUUAAUGAAGAUUUUGUGUGUUUAUGGCCCAAAUAAGCCUCUUUGGUCUGUUAACUUCCUCUUCGAUGGAAAUCUAUCGCUUCAGCCUCCUCUGAAACACAAGUGAUCCUUUCAAUUUCCACGAAUCGAUGUAUCUUCUUCUAACCCUACUUCUCUUUACCAUGUUCAUCAUUAAAAGUUCUGAAUCGUUACACCUUUGUACUUCCUCCCUAUAUAUGCUUAUAUUAAAUUUUGGAACCCUGCAUCUCAAAUACACUCAUCGUUUAUCUCCCCGGCUAGGAUUAUAACAACUAGUCCAAAAUGAAGAUAGGAGGGUAGAAUCAUGUUGGAAGCGUAAAAUAUGAAGACGUAGAAUAGUGCCAUAGCUAGCGACGCAGGAUACCACUACCGCAGGCAUCGAGAUGUCUCCAUGGGAAGCCAUGUUCAGAAGAUAGUGAAGGAGAUGGUAAAGCUCCAACGAAAAAUUCACUGGCUAAACGUACAGUGAAUUUUUCAAUCAGUAGUUGCAGUCUAAAUCUGAACCAAGUCUUUCCAUAUUCUAGAUCUAGAAGUAUAUACUGUCAAAAUCAACCAGAUGAAAUAAUUUAGUGGAUGCAUGUCAAGUAGAUUUACGAGGCUACAAAGUGUUCACUGUACAUGGCAGGGAAAAAGUCUACUUAAGGUUCAGUUGUAAUACUGGUGGUGAUAUGGGCAUGAACAUGGUAACCAAAGGUGUGCAUACUGUUAUUGAGUACCUCACCUAUGAUUUCCCAUACAUGGAUGUGAUCGGAAUCUUUGGUAAGUUCCUUUGUGUAUGUUAUUGGUUUGAUAUGAUCGUAUUUAUAUAUAUAUAUUAUUAGACUGCAGUUUGUAAAACGAUUCGAGUGGAAGUUUAGUAAACUUAGUAACCACUCGAAACUGUUUUGAGCAUAUUAGUAAAAAGUGAAAACGAGUGUGGCUGUCUUGGUGGAGCUCAAUAUGCUCAAUAAAUUCUCACGCCAGCAACAUAGUGUUUGAUGAAUUCAUAGCUACUUGCCAAGAUCCAGCUCAAAACAUUGAGAGCUCACAAUGCAUCACAAUGAUGGUAGCCAUUAAUGGUAAAGAUAUACAUAUCUCUACUACCACACCAUCUAUUGAGUUUCGGGUUGGGACAGUGAGAUAAGGAACACAGUUUCCGUCUCAAUCGACUUGGUUAAACCUCCUAUGCGUUAAAGGAACGAGCAUGGAGCCGAUGGGGAUGAACUCAAGGACGGUAGCUAUGAUAGUGGCAUGAGCAGUUUUGGCCCGAGAGUUAUCUCUAAUAUCAGCAAUUGCAGCUGGGCAACUUAUAAGUAGUCACAUGAAAUACAAUAAGAUCCAUCAAAGACAUCUCUGGAACAACGACAUGGACGGCAACAAUGUUAUCUGAAUCUUACCUUUACAAAAAAUAUUGAGUGUUUCAACAUUGUGCAGAACACAUAGCGUUUUAGUCUGUACAUUAAUCUUUUCAAGAAGUUGGAGGGAGCAAGAGCAUGUAAGUUUAUACA